rnacentral:rRNA from 1 species
CCUACGGGAGGCAGCAGUCGAGAAUCAUUCACAAUGGGGGAAACCCUGAUGGUGCGACGCCGCGUGGGGGAAUGAAGGUCUUGGGAUUGUAAACCCUUGUCAUGUGGGGGCAAAUUAAAAAGAUAGAACCACAAGAAGAAGAGACGUCUAACCCUGUGCGAGCUGCCGCGGUAAUAAAGAGGUCUCAAGCGUUGUUCGGAACCACUGGGCGUAAAGCGUGCGUAGGCUGUUUAUUAAGUGGUAGGUGAAAGGCGUGGGCUCAACCCGCGGACGGCACAUGAUACUGCGAGACUAGAGUAAUGGAGGGGUAACUGGAAUUCUCGGUGUAGGAGUGAAAUGCGUAGAUAUCGGGAGGAACACUCGUGGCGAAGGCGGGUUCCUGGACAUUAACUGACGCUGAGGCACGAAGGCCAGGGGAGCGAAAGGGAUUAGAUACCCGAGUAGUC